rnacentral:tRNA from 4 species
GCCCCCGUAGCUCAACGGACAGAGCAGUUGCCUUCUAAGCAAAAGGUUGAAGGUUCGAUUCCUUCCGGGGGCGC